ensembl:lncRNA
AGAAGGAACAUAUUCUGCUUUCCCAUUGGCUGUGCUUUGCAUACAUACACAUAUAGAUCACAGGUGUUACUGAAACAGAGUAAAUCCAGCAGCUCUGUGUUUGAUCCUCCAUCAGCUCAGCUCUUCACUGUAAUCCAGAUCUCCUAACAUGAUGCUCUGCUCCGGACUCAGCAGCACACUGUUGCUGGCAGCAACGUGUUCACUCAUCACUUCAGGCUGAUGAUCUUCUAGUGAGAAGCCAUGUCCUCUCCAGCUUGCGAGUUAUCUGCUUUAAGAUGGAUGUUUGGGAGCGACAGGAAGAAGUCAAGUACUUCUGAAAAACAUGUCUUUAUCCUGUCUUCCUUCUCUCACCCCAACCAAUCACAGCAGAUGGCCCCGCCCCUCCCUGAGCCUGGUUCUGCCGGAGGUUUCUUCCUGUUAAAAGGGAGUUUUUCCUUCCCACUGCCGCCAAAGUGCUUGCUCAUAGGGGGUCAUAUGAUUGUUGGGUUUUUCUCUGUAUGUAUUAUUGUGCGAUCUACUGUACAAUAUAAAGCGCCUUGAGGCGACUUUUGUUGUGAUUUGGCGCUAUAUAAAUAAAAUUGAAUUGAAUUGAACUGAAUUGAAUAAAACGCUG